ensembl:lncRNA
ACUGAGUGACUUCACUUUCACUUUUCACUUUUGUGUAUUUCUUCGAUUGCCGCUUUUUUUUUUUUUUUUUUUGCCUGGCGGGCCAUUGGAGAAGGAGGUAUGGCCUCUGGGUGGGUCUGGACACACCUGAGGGUCACAAAGAGGGAGGGGACUGAUGCUGAAAAUGGGCUCCGGCCGGCCCUGAAAAGGGAGCUCUUUGAAAACAGAGGAAAUCAGAAUCCUUUGCAGCCACCAGGGGGCAGCAAAGCGUCUCCAAUGGGAAGGCAGAGCCUCCAGGCAGGUGAGACCAGUCCCAGGGUCUUCCUUGGCUCCAACCUGCUAGGGGUGCUGAAGUCCCAGAGACAGAUGGCCUCACGAGGUCUUGGCAUGGGGAGAGCCCUAUCCGACCCCUCCCAGUGCUGCAGGAAACAAAGGCACGACUUCGGUUGCCAGGAUGUCCCUCCGGAAGCCUCCAGGAUGCAGACUUAUGUUCUUGUGAGUUACCAGAAGAGACGCUGAAUGCCCCAGAGCCAGGCUUGAGCCUGAAAUUUUUCCUACUCACUACCCUGG